AGGCGGCUUGAUAAGCCGGUUGUGAAAGCCCCGGGCUCAACCUGGGAACGGCAUCCGGAACUGUCAGGCUAGAGUGCAGGAGAGGAAGGUAGAAUUCCCGGUGUAGCGGUGAAAUGCGUAGAGAUCGGGAGGAAUACCAGUGGCGAAGGCGGCCUUCUGGACUGACACUGACGCUGAGGUACGAAAGCGUGGGUAGCAAACAGGAUUAGAUACCCUGGUAGUCCACGCCGUAAACGAUGUCGACUAGCCGUUGGGGUCCUCGAGACCUUUGUGGCGCAGUUAACGCACUAAGUCGACCGCCUGGGGAGUACGGCCGCAAGGUUAAAACUCAAAUGAAUUGACGGGGGCCCGCACAAGCGGUGGAGCAUGUGGUUUAAUUCGAUGCAACGCGAAGAACCUUACCUACCCUUGACAUCGUGCGAACUUGGUAGAGAUGCCUUGGUGCCUUCGGGAGCGCACAGACAGGUGCUGCAUGGCUGUCGUCAGCUCGUGUUGUGAAAUGUUGGGUUAAGUCCCGUAACGAGCGCAACCCUUGUCCCUAUUUGCCAGCGAUUCGGUCGGGAACUCUAGGGAGACUGCCGGUGACAAACCGGAGGAAGGUGGGGACGACGUCAAGUCAUCAUGGCCCUUACGGGUAGGGCUACACACGUGCUACAAUGGCCGGUACAAUGGGUUGCAAAGCGGCGACGUGGAGCUAAUCUCAUAAAGCCGGUCUCAGUCCGGAUCGGAGUCUGCAACUCGACUCCGUGAAGUCGGAAUCGCUAGUAAUCGUGCAUCAGAAUGGCACGGUGAAUACGUUCCCGGGCCUUGUACACACCGCCCGUCACACCAUGGGAGUGGACUGCACCAGAAGUGGUUAGCCUAACUUCGGAGGGCGAUCACCACGGUGUGGUUCAUGAC
rnacentral:rRNA from 2 species